rnacentral:lncRNA from 1 species
UCUUUUUAUUGGUGCUGCAAAUGUAUUUUUUGAAUUUUAAAAUAUUUUUAAAUAUAUAUUUCCUUAAUAUUAUGUAAAUCCACUGUAACAAAACUUAAUAUCCUUGAUCUUAUUCCCUAAGUAGUUCCCUUGUGGGAGGAAGACCAUUGUAAAAACAAAGACAUAGGUAUACAGUAUUAAAAUAGAUUUGAAAGAAAAACACAAUCUAGUUGGCAUGCAAAAUUACUUGCAAUCAAGGAAAAUUCCAUUAUGCAGAAUUGAAACAAUACAUUUACAUUUUGUAUCCCUGGAAUACAUCAGAUAAGCAGUGCAUUCUCUGAUUGGGGAAUUAGUCAAUUGAACAGAGAAACAAAAUCAACUAUGGGAAAUUUUAACUGUAUACUUUUGCAUAAUUUGCACACAAAGACUGAGCAGACCAUUCAUUAAAAACACCAAUAGACUGCUUUUCAUCCUUUUGAAAUUAGAUGCAUUCGAGAAAGGACGAGGACUGCUUAAAAGAGAGUCUUUUGGGUCAUUACCUCAGGCUUUCUGUUUGUUGAAAGGAGAAAGAAAAGUGGUCAUAGGGUAGAGGAAAACUGUUUGCACUGCAUAAUAAAUGUAAGCAAACACAGCCAAAGGAACAUCCUUUAAUGUCUCCUUUUUCUUCCUUAAAACACUGUUUUCUGCAAUUCUAAUUAGGAGAGAUGCAUGUGCCAGGUUCUGAUGUGUGUGUGCCAGCUCUGUUGGGAAUGGAUUACCCUGACCCACUGGGUUCAAGUCUCAGUGUGCCUGUGCUCGGGUGUCACACUGAUCCCAUCUCUGGGAAUACAAUGCCUUUGGCCGGAACAAUGGAAGAUCCCGGAGGAAAAGGUACUGUUAUGAAUUGGGAUGUUUGGGAUUGGGAUUGGGAUGUUUUUAGCACUCUGUACUUAAGCUUUGUAACCAUCUGUACUACAAUUGACAGGCAUGGUGGCAAUCCGUUAUGGGUCCCAAACCAUUGAUCCAGUCACUGGGCUUGUGGCACCAGUUGUUGGGAUAAGAUUGGAUGUUUUCAAAAAAAUGCCUGUUCCUGUUACAGCUGCAUGCUGGCUUAUGAUGGCUGAACAACCCAACAGUGUCCAGGUUGAAGGGCUGCAGAGGGAGGCAUGUGCAAGAAACACUUACUGGCAGCAGCAAAGGCAUCGGGAGGAAGAAAACCCUAUUGAGCUGGACUCAGCUCUGUUCCUUUGCCUCUGUGGAGUUACAGAUGUAGGCAGUUAUCAGGUCAGUAUGAGGUGGCAUGAGUGGAAUUUGGCAUUUUGAUUUUCAAGUAUGUAAUUUAUUCAUUUCCUUAUUUACUAUUUAUUUCAAACAAGAAGAAGUAACAGAAAAAAAUUCCCACAUGUGCCAUCAUGUACCCUGGUUGUGGAAAACCCAAAGAUAUUCCCUGUAAGGUAUAAUUUAAAAUGUCAAAAGCCUGUUUGGAAAGGAGAAAGUGAGAGCAAAUUAAAUCACCUCCCUUUACAAAUCAUACAUAUUCAGUUACAUUUUGUAAACACUUGCUCUGAUCAUUUGCAUUUAUUAAAAAUGGAAUAGAACGCACAUACCACCACACAAACACAAUGUAAAUUAUUACAGGAAGCGUUUAAACUUACACGUCAUUUCACAGAGAUAAUAAAUGACCACACAUUUCGGAAUCUGUGUAUUUCUUAGAUUGUUGUAUCUUUCCCUUGAAAUAAAUAAGCCUUGAGCAAUGCAUUUGAAGUUUGGAAAUCUACUUAAUUUGUGAAUCGUAGUGACUUUUAUAUUAGUAUGAUCAUAGUACUUCACUUUGUUUACCUACUGAGCUGUUCUUUUUUUGCAGUGUGACAACUGAUUGUGUCCUUGUUUAGUAAUUAUUGCCCAACACAGCAGCAUUGCAUUUAUAACAUGGAGUAAAAAGUUAACAUUAAAAAAUGCUCAGAAGACGGUAAUCCAAACCCUCUUUUUUUCUGUGUGGAAAUUAAAUUCUUAGCACUUAACUUAAAUUAAUUUUUUUUGGACGUCCUAAAACUUAUAUUUCUAAUCAUUGAGACAGCUACACCUCCAUUACCUUUGCUUCAUCUGUUUGUAGGAUGAAAAGCUCAUACCCAUCCAGUUCCAAGGAGGUCUCUAUAUUUGUAUAAUCCACAUUUAAGAAAUGGCAAUAACCCUGCAUGUGAAACCAGUGACAGUAUAGGAGAACUUGCUGAGUGACUCCUCCCACCCCUUGCUUUUCAAAUAUGAAGCACCCACUGACUCCAAAAAGCCAAAAUCCCAAAGAAUUCUAUUGAGAAAUAAAAAUAAACAACUACUACUUAGUCAUUAUAUUUGUCAGAAUAACCAUUCUUGAUCUGCUAAUGGUUUUAACUUGCUCUUGCUAAUCCUAAUUUAUUUCAUUAUUAUUUUCUUUAUUUCAAGUUAUUCAUGUUAUAAAAGCCUAAAAAAAAGCACGUGGUGUCUGUUGGGCCCCUCAUUGAAUGUUCAAAAUGUUUGAUUGACAGAUUCUCCAGAACCUGCUUUCAGUAUUAGGGGUGUGGAUGUGCAACAAGCUCACUCCUGAUUGGCAAGAGGGGUUGCCAUAAAAAUGUUGACUUGCUAACUCAGACCAAUCACUGCUUACUGACGUUGUCUGGCUCCAACAUGGCAUCGUGCAGUAGUGAAAAAAAGAAUCGACUUAAUUUUAUAUGAGCUGGAAGUACGAUUUUGUUUUGGUCCAAUUCUCAUAUACAGUCAAUGUGAGAAACCCUUUGAAGGUUGUUAAUGGUUGUCCUUAGGCUUCUGCAAAAAAUUGAGCCGGUGUUUCUCCAUCCUUGUACCUUGGACUUUCUUUGACACACAGUGUUUUUUUAUACGUUUCCUGAAGUGUCUCUGUGGUAAAAAGGAGUGGUUUAGGUUUUAGGGUGCAAUUGCUUGCUGUAAAUUUCCUACUCUGUAGUUUCAGUGGUCAGGGAGGCAGCUGAGGGAAGCAGCUGGGGAGCUGCAGGAUGCGGCAAACAUGGAGGCCCAGAGAAGAGCGGCUCAGCGCUCCAACUUGGCCCUUGUUUUACCCCAACACGUGCUACACAUCCUCUCAUGGGGUAAACUGCAUAAAAAUAUGGCAGAUCAGGAAAAAUCAAAAUAGAAAAUUACAGAAAUAAGCACUCUUUAAACAUUUCACACUCUCAAAAAGAGAGACAUGGUGCGCCAGGGUCUCUUAUUGUAGGUAGCUCUCAGUUUAUGUAAUUUACAUAAUGCCAGUGUUCACCAUUGGAUUUGGGCUGGAAGCAAGCAACAAUAUGUACAUAAAUCUGUGUUGCAGGUGACGGGGAAGAAUGGGAACAGGAUUGUGCUUGGCACUCAGCGCUCAUGUCGUGCCUCGAUAAGAUUGACAUUAGUAUGGAACAACUGCAACAAGACCUGGCAAAAUGGAAGAUUCAGGCAGGAGAACAAUCUACAAAACUUCAAUUUAUGGUCAGAACAGCCUAGUAGUUUGUGUUUAAAAUAGCAGUACAUUGAAACUUUUUAAGCAUUUCCCGUCAAGCAAAUUCAAGCAUGUUUACUGUAAUGCAGCCUAUGGGUUAAAAACUUUGGUGCAAAAUCUGUAACACUUUGAAACAAAACUGUUUAGCUGUGAAUAAAAAGCCUAUGGAUAUUUGUCUUCCAGGACAGAGAAGUCUGUCAAAAAGAGUUGUUGGAGCUCUGUAGCUCCAGACAGACAGACUUGGACACUGCUCUCAGUUUGUUGCAGUUUGUGAGACAAUUUUCCAAUCUGCGGGCGGAAACUGCCCAGGUAAAAUCGGAACACAAAAAACUUCCCCUCUCUAAGUAACACUAAAAGGAAUCUAUUGUUUAUAACUAAAGCAUUCCAAUACAGAAAGAACAUGCACUCAUCAGCCACAGGUUUGAAUCUGAUGCGACCAUUCAGAGGGGAAUUUGAUGUGACAUAAACAUGCAGACAAAUAAAUCAUUAAAACAUUAGAGCUGACAAAGUAAAAAAUGUUGCAGUUUUGGGACUUAAAAAUUACUUUCGAGCUCUAAAUUUAGGGAAGCUCAGCACAUCAGCCCAUAAUUGUGUGAUUGGGUAAACAGGUACACAGUAAAAAGAGAUGAAAUCCCAUUUGGAUCUCAGCAAAUGUUUGAAGUGAAAUGAAUUCAAUCGACUUAAAAACAGUAAAUUCUACCGUUUUCUCGCUAUUCUUAUUUUCUAUGCUGUCUUUAACAAUAUGUACACCUUCCUACAAGAGCCCUUUAAGGACUUCAUAGAAGCUUUGUGCUUGAGCUUCCCUCAAAGUAUGAAAUGUUCUGGCCAGAAAAACCAUGGAUCAAGUCCAGCCAUGCAUGUGUGACCUAUUAUCUCACCCCAGACAGAGUAAGACCCUGCCUUCAUUCCACCUGCCUGUGUCUUUCUCCAUUUGUCUGUCUAGGCUGUAUUGUGUAGGAAAUUUUGGUUCAGGGAAUACAACCUGCCUCUGUGCAGAGGACACGAGCCAAACAUGAAGCCACUUAACCUGCUCCAAGAAAGAGCUUUGCCUCUGUUGUUGAGGCUGAACCAACUUCUGGAAGAGAAGAAACCAACCAGCUCUUCCCCCAACACCUGCAAUCAGCACAUUUCUGGCUCAGAGGCAGUGCCAGAUAGCGGUAUAGAAUGAACUCUGCUACACAGACAUUGCACAUGGAGUAGUAGUUAAGAUCACUCCUAUGUUUUUUUUCUGGUAACAUUUCUCUGCUAUGUUGAUGUAAAAAUGCAGGAAAAUAAUUUGUCAUCUGUCUUCUAACAUAUUUCAGGUUUGUCCACAGAACAGGCAUAUUGUUUAGAGACACCCUCAAGAGUCUGGACAGCAUCUGUGCCUGUGGUAAAAGGUGUGUUCGUCUUAAACUUUCACACUUAACAAUGACAUAUGAGAGUGUGGUUUUUGUGGGUUAACAAUUCAAAGUUCUAUGAUUGGCCCGCUCGCUUUCUGCAGGUUUGUUCACAUCAGUCCUGGGACAGCUGAUUGAUUGUAGUCACAUUGUUUGUCUUUGAUUUUGCUUUGUUAGUGUUAAACUGAUCAAGAUUCACUUUGCAUUUCAUCACAUGCAAAUUGGAAGGGACUCUCUGGGACUUUAAUAUCAAUAAUAAAAUUCCGUUUGAUGGCACAGCUGUCCAAGUUGUUAUCAACAAAAAACCAAAAAAAGCAAAUCAUAAUCCAUUGAAUGAAUGGAUAAGUUAAUGCUAUUUUUUUUGCGCUUAAUUAUGCUGACGUGAAAAAAAAGUCCAGAGAUAUCUGGUUGCUCAACGGAGUGAUUUAGGAGACAGAAAGAAAAUAGAAAGCACACACAAACAGACUUAUCUGUCUGUUGCUGUGUCAGCAGUGGAAAGCAGUCUGGCAUUGUGAAUUAAUAUUCAUGCAGGAAGAAAUCAGUUUACUUUGCUUAUCUCAAAACCAUUCACAGUUGUAGUAGGUGGUGAUAAAAUAACAGUCCGGGAAUGUGAAUGUGUUCUGCUGGAUGGAGCGCUUAACGAUGGAGCAGGAACUUAUGUUUAUGACAACAAGUGUAUUUUACCGGAUUAUCAAAAUCUCCUAAAAAAACCUAUUGGUGAUUAGGUUUAUUUUCCAAAUAGACAAAGGCAGGAGGAAGGUGAGGUCGGAAAAAAAAAGACAGACAACAGGCUAAGUUUUCUUUCUUUUUCAAUCUAUUGUUAGAUCUUUG